ACCCUUAGAUGUUCUGGGCCGCACGCGUGCUACACUGACCGGCGCAACAAGUUUCUUUCCUUGGCCGACAGGCCCGGGCAAUCUUUGAACGCUGGUCGUGAUGGGGAUAGACUUUUGCAAUUUUUGGUCUUCAACGAGGAAUUCCUAGUAAACGCAAGUCAUCAACUUGCAUUGAUUACGUCCCUGCCCUUUGUACACACCGCCCGUCGCACCUACCGAUUGAAUGGUCCGGUGAAGCCUCCGGAUUGGCGCGCACCUCGGUGCCGCCGAGAAGUUGGCUAAACCUUACCAUUUAGAGGAAGGUGAAGUCGUAACA
rnacentral:rRNA from 1 species